UUGUUUACUAAUUACGUUAUUACGUUAAACGCUUAGUAAAAGUAAUUAACAGUCAUUAAAAACACCUACUUGUCUUUUUUAAACUUGAGGAAGUAAAAAAGAUCAAUCAACGAAAAACACAUCUUACAUAACCUUCAUUUUUCCAAACAAAUAUCUUCCUAGUACAGUGACUAUCAUAGCUUUGAGGCCCCUUAAAAAAUACAACCUAUAUGAUUAAUAGAGCUACAUACUUUACAAACAACAAUGUUAGCAUUGGUACAGACGUCGCUAGUCGUGUUAAGUUAAAAAAAAGGGUCUAAAGAGAAGAUAAAAGAACAAAAUAAAAACACAAAACCGGUUGGAAUUUAAUUGAAGACUGCUUAGAACAUGUAGCAGCUGCUUCUAGCAACCAUAGGUGAAGAGGUACGACAAUCCGUUUUACCUGCGAAUAAUUCCUGCUGUUCAAAAACAAGUAGAUAGCGAAAUUGAUUCAAAGAAGAGAAGAAUUUCACUUUUUCUUAUGUGAUGGAACACUGAACAACACAACAACUCGCGAUGGUGAUGGUGAGUAAAUAAAAAUAAUAACAUAAGCACUUUUAAUUGCAGCACAUAACAAAUAAUAAUGAAUAACAACAAAAAUACACAAAACAAGGAGGGAAGUAUCAAGGUACCUAUAAGCUAAAAAAAAUGCUGAUUCUUGAAAAACUGGAUUCUAUUACAAUAAUGAUCAACUUCUUAUUUGAAAUUCUAAUCAGACCUCUGACAGAUGAUGAAUAUGAAUACAACAAAUCAGAAGGGCUUGAGUUUUAAUUUUUCUUCUUGUUUUUUUUUUCAGACACUAAAAUUAUUUGAAAUUAAAUGAAAAAUUCAAUCAAUAAUUUGAAAGACUCCUACACAACAACCAACAACAACAAUAUACCUACAAAGUGUAGGUACCUACUCAUUUGGACAGAGGAGUUUGUGGAAAUGGAAACCGGGAGUAGUCGCGAAUCGAAUCUGGGUUACGUAAGAAUAAACUGAGCAAUAUUGUGCUUUCAAUGCAAAAACAAUAAGUGCUUUGCUUAGCAAUGUACCUACUACGAUGACGGACCGGAUCGUUGAAUGGAAGCAACGCAAAUCAAUAAAAACGCAAUUAAUUCGUCA